rnacentral:lncRNA from 1 species
ACUCCUUUAAUCUUUUUGACAUUAUGGUCAGUGCUAUUGUCUUUGAUAACUAAAUAAGAGAAUGCUUUCGCUUUUAACCCUGCAAAUGAAGUCAUUAUAUGACCCGCAUUUUCGUCUUUCAUUAAACCAAGUUCUUUGUUUGACUCUUGGUAAUUUGAGGUAUUAAAAAAGGUAUUUAACCCAUAAAAAUCUUCUAUUGAUGAUAUAAUAAAUGAAUCUGUAUCCAUGUGGAGUAUUUUUGAUGAUGGGCAUUUUAGAGAAUGAAAAUGAUAGAAAUAGUAUACAUUAACCAUUUUGAAAGUUCUAGUACACAAACUCCAAUGUAUAUGGGUUUAUU